rnacentral:rRNA from 1 species
GACGAACGCGGGCGGCGUGCCUAAUACAUGCAAGUAGAACGCACAGUUUAUACCGUAGCUUGCUACACCAUAGACUGUGAGUUGCGAACGGGUGAGUAACGCGUAGGUAACCUGCCUGGUAGCGGGGGAUAACUAUUGGAAACGAUAGCUAAUACCGCAUAAUAUUAAUUAUUGCAUGAUAAUUAAUUGAAAGAUGCAACUGCAUCACUACCAGAUGGACCUGCGUUGUAUUAGCUAGUUGGUGAGGUAACGGCUCACCAAGGCGACGAUACAUAGCCGACCUGAGAGGGUGAUCGGCCACACUGGGACUGAGACACGGCCCAGACUCCUACGGGAGGCAGCAGUAGGGAAUCUUCGGCAAUGGGGGGAACCCUGACCGAGCAACGCCGCGUGAGUGAAGAAGGUUUUCGGAUCGUAAAGCUCUGUUGUAAGAGAAGAACGAGUGUGAGAGUGGA